UAUCCUCCAGACCGUAUCAAUGAGCUAAGCCCAAUGUUAAAGGUAAUACCGCCACCCAGGUGUACUUCAGGUAAAUGCAGGAUACAUUUCAGUAACCCCCGGAAUUCCGUGAGAAAUCAAAAUGAGACACAAGAAAGCAUUUAAGUGUUCAUUAGAUCUCUAAAGUUUAUUCUCUCAGAGGGACUUGUAUACAGAAGAAAAAUAGGAUGGGCUGCAUAUUAUUGCAUAUGUCUGUAGAUUUCAUACAAACUUAGUAUUUUCUUAUCAAGAUUUAAACCAGCUGAAUUUAGUUUUAACAAUGGCUAAAAGAUGACUUUGCUUAUACAAUCAGGCUGUUCCAUGAAUUUAACCACAAUGACUUAGCAGAAGCAGGGUGUGACUCUAUGCAAACUGUUAGCUAAUGUAAGUAUGUCAAAACACAUAUAGAAAAGUUAAUUUCUACUUAAAAAUAAAGUCAGUUAUUUAUACAUUCUA